rnacentral:tRNA from 1 species
GGGAAUGUGGCUUAGUGUUAGAGUGCUUGCUUUGCAUGUAUGGAGCCCUAGGUUCAAUUCCUCAAUACCA